rnacentral:rRNA from 1 species
GACGAACGCUGGCGGCGUGCCUAACACAUGCAAGUCGAGCGAGGUCCAACCAGUGGCAACACUGGGGACGACCUAGCGGCGAACGGGUGAGUAACACGUGAGAAACUUGCCCCGGAGUUCGGGAUAACCCGAGGAAACUCGAGCUAAUACCGAAUGCCCUCUUCUGAUCGCAUGGUCGGAUGAGGAAAGAUUCAUCGCUCCGGGAGAGUCUCGCGGCCUAUCAGCUAGUUGGUGGGGUAACGGCCCACCAAGGCAUCGACGGGUAGCUGGUCUGAGAGGACGAUCAGCCACACUGGGACUGAGACACGGCCCAGACUCCUACGGGAGGCAGCAGUGGGGAAUCUUGCACAAUGGGCGCAAGCCUGAUGCAGCAACGCCGCGUGAGGGAUGACGGCCUUCGGGUUGUAAACCUCUUUUAGUAGGGAAGAAGCGUAAGUGACGGUACCUGCAGAAAAAGCACCGGCUAACUACGUGCCAGCAGCCGCAGUAACAC